AGUGAACGCUGGCGGUAGGCCUAACACAUGCAAGUCGAACGGCAGCACAGUAAGAGCUUGCUCUUACGGGUGGCGAGUGGCGGACGGGUGAGGAAUACAUCGGAAUCUACUUUUUCGUGGGGGAUAACGUAGGGAAACUUACGCUAAUACCGCAUACGACCUACGGGUGAAAGUAGGGGAUCUUCGGACCUUGCGCGAUUGAAUGAGCCGAUGUCGGAUUAGCUAGUUGGCGGGGUAAAGGCCCACCAAGGCGACGAUCCGUAGCUGGUCUGAGAGGAUGAUCAGCCACACUGGAACUGAGACACGGUCCAGGCUCCUACGGGAGGCAGCAGUGGGGAAUAUUGGACAAUGGGCGCAAGCCUGAUCCAGCCAUACCGCGUGGGUGAAGAAGGCCUUCGGGUUGUAAAGCCCUUUUGUUGGGAAAGAAAAGCAGCAGGUUAAUACCCCGCUGUUCUGACGGUACCCAAAGAAUAAGCACCGGCUAACUUCGUG
rnacentral:rRNA from 1 species